AUACGUAGGGUGCGAGCGUUGUCCGGAAUUACUGGGCGUAAAGGGCUCGUAGGUGGUUUGUCGCGUCGUCUGUGAAAUUCCGGGGCUUAACUCCGGGCGUGCAGGCGAUACGGGCAUAACUUGAGUACUGUAGGGGGGACUGGAAUUCCUGGUGUAGCGGUGAAAUGCGCAGAUAUCAGGAGGAACACCGGUGGCGAAGGCGGGUCUCUGGGCAGUAACUGACGCUGAGGAGCGAAAGCAUGGGUAGCGAACAGGAUUAGAUACCCUGGUAGUCCAUGCCGUAAACGGUGGGCGCUAGGUGUAGGGGUCUUCCACGACUUCUGUGCCGUAGCUAACGCAUUAAGCGCCCCGCCUGGGGAGUACGGCCGCAAGGCUAAAACUCAAAGGAAUUGACGGGG
rnacentral:rRNA from 1 species